GACGAACGCUGGCGGCGCGCCUAACACAUGCAAGUCGAACGGAGUCAAGAGGAUCUUGCUUUUCUUGACUUAUUGGCGAACGGGUGAGUAACGCGUGAGUAACCUGCCCUGGAGUGGGGGACAACAGUUGGAAACGACUGCUAAUACCGCAUAAGCGCACGGAUCUGCAUGGAGCUGCGGGAAAAGGAUUUAUUCGCUCUAGGAUGGACUCGCGUCCAAUUAGCUAGUUGGUGAGGUAACGGCCCACCAAGGCGACUAUUGGUAGCCGGACUGAGAGGUUGAACGGCCACAUUGGGACUGAGACACGGCACAGACUCCUACGGGAGGAAGCAGUGGGGGAUAUUGCAGCAUGGGGGAAACCCUGAUGCAGCGACGCCGCGUGGAGGAAGCAGGUUUUCGAAUCGUAAACUCCUGUCGUUAGGGACGAUAAUGACGGUACCUAACAAGAAAGCACCGGCUAACUACGUG
rnacentral:rRNA from 1 species